rnacentral:rRNA from 1 species
GAGCUUUCGGAAAAGCAAAUGUAGGUAUAAGUAACGAUAAAGGGGGCGUGAAACCCCCUCGCCAUAAGACUAAGGAUUCCUGAUCAACGCUAAUCGGAUCAGGGUAAGUCGGGCCCUAAGGCGCAGCCGAACGGCGUAGCCGAUGGAAGAAACGGUAAAGAUUCCGUUACUGGAUAUAGGAGCGAUGUGGAGACGGAGAAGUGACACACCCGCCUGCCGACGGAAGCGCAGGUUAAAGGAAGUAGGUAAACGCCGGGUAGGCAAAUCCGCCUGGCGAGCCGAAGCUGACAGUAUCGAGAGCCCCCGGGCAAUCGAAUAGCGGUGGUAAUCAGGCUCCCAAGAAAAUCCGCUAAGCAUAUUCUAUAUUCACCCGUACCCCAAACGGACACACGUAGUCGGGUAGAAUAUACCAAGGCGCUCGAAAGACUCACGGUUAAGGAACUAGGCAAAUUGACCCUGUAACCUCGGGAAAAAGGGUCCCCAGUAAGAUGGGGCGCAGAGAAUAGGUCCAGGCAACUGUUUAACAAAAACACAGGGCUGUGCGAAAUUUCAAGAUGAAGUAUACAGCCUGACACCUGCCCGGUGCCGGAAGGUUAAGAGGAGAGCUAAUCGCAAGAGAAGGCUUGAAUUGAAGCCCCGGUAAACGGCGGCCGUAACUAUAACGGUCCUAAGGUAGCGAAAUUCCUUGUCGGGUAAGUUCCGACCUGCACGAAUGGUGUAAUGAUCUGGACACUGUCUCAACCGUGAGCUCGGUGAAAUUGUAGUAUCGGUGAAGAUGCCGAUUACCCGCAACGGGACGAAAAGACCCCGUGAACCUUUACUGCAGCUUAGCAUUGGGACCGGGUGCGUGAUGUGUAGGAUAGUCCGGAGACAGCGAUGCGGGGGCGCCAGCCCUCGCGGAGUCGACGUUGAAAUACGGACCUUUGCGCAUCUGGUCUCUAACUCGCGGAAAGCGAGGACACUGCUUGGUGGGUAGUUUGACUGGGGUGGUCGCCUCCAAAAGAGUAACGGAGGCUUCUAAAGGUGCCCUCAGACCGAUUGGUAACCGGUCGCAGAGUGUAAUGGCAUAAGGGCGCUUGACUGAGAGGACGACAAUCCGAACAGGUAGGAAACUAGAGCAUAGUGAUCCGGCGGUACCGCAUGGAAGGGCCGUCGCUCAAAGGAUAAAAGGUACUCCGGGGAUAACAGGCUGAUCCCUCCCAAGAGC